rnacentral:rRNA from 1 species
CCUACGGGUGGCAGCAGUGGGGAAUAUUGCACAAUGGGGGAAACCCUGAUGCAGCGACGCCGCGUGAAGGAAGAAGUUUUUCGGUAUGUAAACUUCUAUCAGCAGGGAAGAAAAUGACGGUACCUGACUAAGAAGCCCCGGCUAACCACGUGCCCGCAGCCGCGGUAAUACGUAGGGGGCAAGCGUUAUCCGGAUUUACUGGGUGUAAUGGGAGCGUAGGCGGCAAUGCAAGUCAGAAGUGAAAGGCCGGGGCUCAACUCCGGGACUGCUUUUGAAACUGUGUUGCUAGAGUGCAGGAGAGGUAAGUGGAAUUCCUGGUGUAGCGGUGAAAUGCGUAGAUAUUAGGAAGAACACCAGUGGCGAAGGCAGCUUACUGGACUGUAAAUGACGCUGAGGCUCGAAAGCGUGGGGAGCAAACAGGAUUAGAUACCCGUGUAGUC